UCAGACAAUAUUCUUGCCUUGAGAUAUUCGAUCAACAAGGUGAAGGACAAGGGCCCAUGUAUAGACGAUGGUGCUAACUGAAGAGACCAUAAAAUAAAGUCAAGCUAGAUAGUUUUCGUACCCUUAAAUAUUUCCACACUUACAUAACACCUCCAUUGUUAGAGUAGUUUAGUAGCAUUUUCAUUUUUUAACUUUGGUAGGGGAUGUUUUUCUUUUAUUCUAAUUAUAUUUUUACCAUGUUUGCAAUGUGUACGAACGUUUUAAGUCCAUGACAAUUUUUAUCUUAA